AGCCAAUAGAUACCCAGGUAGUCCACGCCGUAAACUAUGGAUGCUAGCUGUUAGAGGUAUCGACCCCUCUAGUAGCGAAAGCUAACGCGUUAAGCAUCCCGCCUGUGGAGUACGGUCGCAAGACUAAAACAUAAAGGAAUUGACGGGGACCCGCACAAGCGGUGGAGCGUGUUGUUUAAUUCGAUGGUAAGCGAAGAACCUUACCCAGGCUUGACAUCCUUGGAAUUUUGGCGAAAGCCGAGAGUGCCUUCGGGAACCAAGUGACAGGUGUUGCAUGGCCGUCGUCAGCUCGUGUCGUGAGAUGUUUGGUUAAGUCCAUCAACGAGCGCAACCCUUAUAGUUAGUUGAAUUUUUCUAGCUAGACUGCCCUGGCAACAGGGAGGAAGGAGGGGAUGAUGUCAGGUCAGUAUUACCCUUACGUCUGGGGCUACAAACACGCUACAAUGGCCGGUACAAAGGGCAGCCAAGUCGCGAGACGGAGCAAAUCCCAUCAAAGCCGGUCUAAGUUCGGAUAGCAGGCUGAAACUCGCCUGCUUGAAG
rnacentral:rRNA from 1 species